GGUGAGGUCAUGCCAGGGGGAAAUGACUUCUUCUGGACACCAGAACAGAUGUGUCACAUGACCAACCCAGGACUAGGGGAAGGAAAUGAAGCACUCUGGGAACACUCGGGAUUCUGGGAUGAAGUACUCCCAAUGGACACCUCGAAGUGAUGGGCAGCAGCCAUAGCCUGUGACCCAGGCUUGGCAUAAUUGGGUCUUCCACAAGCGUCUACUCCUUAAGCUCCAGGGAGACCUCUGGCUUCAGCAGGAACGAGGCUGCAUGAUCUCAAGGUCCCUCCAAUCUCUCUUCUGAGCUGAAAAAAAAUCAUCAGCAAAGAGGUCCUUGUCCCGGUGGACACAAUGCUUUGUGCAGUGUGAAAGCCUACAGAUAGGUGUGAGAAGAAAGGACCUUGAAAACCCUACUCCAUCGUAGAAUCUACUAGAAGUGAUUUAGCUGUUCGCAGGAGUCUGGCUACUGGCCCAUGUGCCUGAGCAGAGUACCUGCUGGAGAGCUCGCUCAGCUCCUCGGAGUGCUUCUGGAAAGAUUACCAUCAAGGCCUGAGUUAGCAACAGUCUCCACACAGGACUCUCCUCAGGAGUCAAAUGUAAGAAUGUCCACGGGCUCUCGGCUCCCUCACCUCCCUCAUUAGCUGUCAGCUCGAUUUGACCACUGUUGGAAUGCAGCAGAUGGGCUAUAAAAUAUGAAGCAGCUUCCCAGCCUGCAUAAACUCCAACCACAAGGCAAAUAAAGUCUGAUUAAUCACCUGGAA
rnacentral:lncRNA from 1 species